AUUGAACGCUGGCGGCAGGCCUAACACAUGCAAGUCGAGCGGAUGAAGGGAGCUUGCUCCUGGAUUCAGCGGCGGACGGGUGAGUAAUGCCUAGGAAUCUGCCUGGUAGUGGGGGAUAACGUCCGGAAACGGGCGCUAAUACCGCAUACGUCCUGAGGGGAAAAGUGGGGAUCUUCGGACCCCACGGUAACAGAUUAGCCUAGGUCGGAUUAGCUAGUUGGUGGGGUAAAGGCCUACCAAGGCGACGAUCCGUAACUGGUCUGAGAGGAUGAUCAGUCACACUGGAACUGAGACACGGUCCAGACUCCUACGGGAGGCAGCAGUGGGGAAUAUUGGACAAUGGGCGAAAGCCUGAUCCAGCCAUGCCGCGUGUGUGAAGAAGGUCUUCGGAUUGUAAAGCACUUUAAGUUGGGAGGAAGGGCAGUAAGUUAAUACCUUGCUGUUUUGACGUUACCAACAGAAUAAGCACCGGCUAACUUCGUG
rnacentral:rRNA from 1 species